UGAGAUCCCUGUAAACUCCCUUAUUCCUGAUGUUGAUCUCUCCCUGCUCUUUGGUUUUCUAGGCUGAAGAGAAGAUGAGAUUAGCUGUUCAGGCACAUGGGACACUUUAAAGAGUUUUUGUUGCCUUUCUGGUGGAAGCAAUGAGGACUUCAAGGAGGAAAGGUGAAUUCCUUUCUGGAAGGUGUUGAAGGCACCUAAAGCAUCACAACGGCCAUAUUGUUCAGGAUUUCAAAGAGCAAUCGUUUAUCUUUGUGGAUACAAGUAAACGGACAAUGGUGUCCCGACCAUCUGCUCAAGCUGCUUGAGAACAGUCUUCUGUGCAAAUGGCAUGAAAGGUUCAAAUG
rnacentral:lncRNA from 1 species